GACGAACGCUGGCGGCGUGCUUAACACAUGCAAGUCGAACGGAAAGGCCCUUCUUUUGUUGGGUGCUCGAGUGGCGAACGGGUGAGUAACACGUGAGUAGCCUGCCCUUGACGUUGGGAUAACUUCAAGAAACUGUGGCUCAUACCGGAUAUGAUCUCCGGCUGCAUGGUGUGGGUUGGAAAGUUUCGGCGGUUGGGGAUGGACUCGCGGCUUAUCAGCUUGUUGGUGGGUGAGUGGCUUACAAAGUCUUUGACGGGUGGCCGGCCGGGGAGGGGGACCGGCCACAUGGGGCUUGAGAUCCGGCCAGACUUCCUCCGGGAGGAAGAAGUGGGGAUUAUUGCAAAAUGGGCGGAAGCCGGAUGCAGCAACGCCGCGGGGGGGUUGACGGCCUUGGGGUGGUAACCGCCUUUAGCAGGUGCCGAAGUGUUAGUGACGGUAACGGGUAAAGAAGCACCGGCUAACUACGUG
rnacentral:rRNA from 1 species